rnacentral:rRNA from 1 species
GAUGAACGCUGGCGGCGUGCUUAACACAUGCAAGUCGAACGGAAAGGCUCCUGCUUGCAGGGGUACUCGAGUGGCGAACGGGUGAGUAACACGUGGGUGAUCUGCCCUGCACUUCGGGAUAAGCCUGGGAAACUGGGUCUAAUACCGGAUAGGACGAUGGUUUGGAUGCCAUUGUGGAAAGUUUUUUCGGUGUGGGAUGAGCUCGCGGCCUAUCAGCUUGUUGGUGGGGUAAUGGCCUACCAAGGCGUCGACGGGUAGCCGGCCUGGGAGGGUGUACGGCCACAUUGGGACUGAGAUACGGCCCAGACGCCUACGGGAGGCAGCGGUGGGGAAUAUUGCACAAUGGGCGCAAGCCUGAUGCAGCGACGCCGCGUGGGGGAUGACGGCCUUCGGGUUGUAAACUCCUUUCGCUAGGGACGAAGCGCAAGUGACGGUACCUGGAGAAGAAGCACCGGCUAACUACGUG